rnacentral:misc_RNA from 1 species
CUUGGUCAUUUAGAGGAAGUAAAAGUCGUAACAAGGUUUCCCGGAACGCGUGGGGACAUUGAUAAAUAUCUGUGUCGAUUUUAUCAAUUACUUCAACGGAAGCCUUGUAAGUAUCAGUCUGCCUUUGGGCGGGCGACACCCGUCUGUAGCUGGGAAUCUCUCCUUCUUGCGGGUUAACAACCAGCUGCUAUAUGUGCUAAAGCCAUGUAGUCCACAGAUCAAACGCGGGUGGCCUCCUGUUCUAUCUUUUCCUUUAUUGACUUCCCCCGCCGGGGUUCACGACCUUGAAGAGCUCUCGGUCCCUGGUCUCGGAAAAGAUACUCAGACAUCUUGAGGGGCUAAGAUAUGACCGUAGCAGUUCUGCGACGAGUCUGAUUUCACUAGUUCCGUAGGUGAACCUGCGGAAGGAUCAUUACUGAGGGGGGCUUCACGCCCCAGGGGCUCACGCCCCGUCCCUUUCCACCCUCUGCGUACCUUCCACUGUUGCUUUGGCGGGCCCCGGGGCUGCCCCCCCGGCGCUGGCUCUCUUUUGUAGACUCGCGAGCGCCCGCCAGAGGCCCGUCCAAAAACCUUUCGGUAUCAGUGCAGUCUGAGUGAGUGAAGAAUCUAUCAAAACUUUCAACAACGGAUCUCUUGGUUCUGGCAUCGAUGAAGAACGCAGCGAAAUGCGAUAAGUAAUGUGAAUUGCAGAAUUCAGUGAAUCAUCGAAUCUUUGAACGCAUAUUGCGCCCUUCGGUAUUCCGAGGGGCAUGCCUGUUCGAGCGUCAUUACACAUCCUUCAAGCACCGCUUGGUAUUGGGUGCUCGCUCCCCGACCCCCCCCAAAAGGGGGGGGGCGUGCCCGAAAUUCAGUGGCGGUCCCGGUGGACUUCAAGCGUAGUAAACUUCGUCCCGCUUUGGAAGCUUUUUACCGGUGGCCUCGCCAGCAAACCCGUUCUUGACCAUCAGAUGGACCUCGGAUCAGGUAGGGAUACCCGCUGAACUUAAGCAUAUCAAUAAGCGGAGGAAAAGAAACCAACCGGUAUUGCCCUAGUAACGGCGAGUGAAGCGGCAACAGCUCAAAU